AACGAACGCUGGCGGCAUGCCUAACACAUGCAAGUCGAACGAGACCUUCGGGUCUAGUGGCGCACGGGUGCGUAACGCGUGGGAACCUGCCUUUAGGUUCGGAAUAACUCAGAGAAAUUUGAGCUAAUACCGGAUGAUGUCUUCGGACCAAAGAUUUAUCGCCUUUAGAUGGGCCCGCGUUGGAUUAGCUAGUUGGUGGGGUAAAGGCCUACCAAGGCGACGAUCCAUAGCUGGUCUGAGAGGAUGAUCAGCCACACUGGGACUGAGACACGGCCCAGACUCCUACGGGAGGCAGCAGUGGGGAAUAUUGGACAAUGGGCGAAAGCCUGAUCCAGCAAUGCCGCGUGAGUGAUGAAGGCCUUAGGGUUGUAAAGCUCUUUUACCCGAGAUGAUAAUGACAGUAGCGGGAGAAUAAGCACCGGCUAACUCCGUG
rnacentral:rRNA from 1 species